GUGCUUGUGUGUUUGACCUCCUGCUUGCAAGCAAUAGUUAGAGCCAGAUAUCUGCGGAGAAUUACUCAUGUAAUCUUUUUCUCUUCUAAAUAAAUGUUAACUUUAAUUGAUCAACGUGCUGGAUCCUUCUCAUCAAUGGACUCGGGGGGAUCGGAGAUCCUGACACACAGAAUAAAGACGUUGACACUAAGCAAGUUCCUCUCAGCAGUUGACUCAAGGUAAAGUCCAAUUAGUACUGUUAUAGGUUUAACUUAACAUAGAUUUUUAACAUAGUUGUAAACGGAGAUGUUUACAAAAUUAGUUUAUUUCCCAUGUGCUAAAACAUGAGAUGGAUGUGUAAAAUAUGUACCUUUUUGAAUCAAUUUCAAACGGAUAGGAUAGGAUUAUUAAAACACUACAGGUUUAAACUGGUCCUCACACCGAUGGCCCUUGUUCGUUCAAAACAUUUAAUGCCCUCCGGACCCAUUUGUCUCGACAGCACGUGGCGUUGCCACAAAGAGAAGUUUUUGGGCAGUGGCUGGGACAGGACACCUCAUACCCCUAUGUCUGAGGCAUCCAGUGUCACGUGUAUUUAGGCGAUUUCCCGAUUCCCCAACUCGACUAGUACCGGCCCCUCGACUCCAGGCCCCGACCCUGCCAGUACCGGCCCCUCGACUCCAGGCCCCGACCCCACCAGUACCGGCCCCUCGACUCCUGACCCCCACUCGGUCGGUACCGCCCCCGAGACUCAUGACUCCCUCCCUUCCAUCCCGUGGCUGGCCGAUCCCAGACAGCCCUCAAAUCACCAUGAUUUGAGGGCUGUCUGGGAUCGGCCCUUGAGGGGUAGAGGGAGUUGGGGGGGAGCGGCGACUCCGGAGGUAUUCAGUUUCCCAGAGCCGGCGACGACUCCGGAGGUUUCCUGACAGUACUUGGAGAAGGGGUGCAAAGGUGAAUCUGGAUUUCAGGGUCUGGAAAACCCCUUCGGCUGCAGAAGUCCACAAGAAUGGGGUAUUGGAGGAGGUCAGCCUGCUGAACGUGGAAGCCACUGCACCUGAUGAACUUCUGAUAGAAAUGUUCAAACGAAAAGAAACAUUGAAGUUGUUUCCGGGAGUUUGGGACUGGCCAGGUGGUGACUGCAGCAACCUC
ensembl:lncRNA